rnacentral:rRNA from 1 species
UACGGAGGGUGCGAGCGUUGUCCGGAAUCACUGGGCGUAAAGGGCGCGUAGGUGGCCGAGCAAGGUCGCGGUGAAAGCCCGGGGCUCAACCCCGGGUCGGCCGUGGCAACUACUGGGCUAGAGCACUGUAGGGGCGGGUGGAAUUCCGGGUGUAGCGGUGGAAUGCGUAGAGAUCCGGAAGAACACCGGUGGCGAAGGCGGGUCUCUGGGCCACUACUGACGCUGAGACGCGAAAGCGUGGGGAGCGAACAGG